rnacentral:misc_RNA from 1 species
GAGGAAGUCCUGCUUGCCCAGCUGGAGGGAGGCACGAUGGACUCCCGGUAACACUAAAAUUUGCUCGGGAUGGAUGUGAACCCAUAUUGGGUUGGAUGUGGGCAGGCCUUCUAAGAGGGGACUCUGAAGAAGGUGACAUACUGCUAUUCCGAAGCAUUUGACGAGCAAGAACAUUCUGGUUCAAAAGAUCAUCAGCUUCUCCACCUUCAGUGUCUCCA